rnacentral:rRNA from 1 species
ACGAACCGUCCAAACGUUAUUCGGAAUUAUUGGGCUUAAAGGGUGCGUAGGCGGUGCUGUAAGUCAGGUGUGAAAUCCCACGGCUCAACCGUGGAACUGCGCUUGAUACUGCAGUGCUCGAGGGAGACAGAGGUAAGCGGAACUGAUGGUGGAGCGGUGAAAUGCGUUGAUAUCAUCAGGAACACCAGUGGCGAAAGCGGCUUACUGGGUCUCUUCUGACGCUGAGGCACGAAAGCUAGGGUAGCGAACGGG